UACGAAGGGGGCUAGCGUUGCUCGGAAUCACUGGGCGUAAAGGGCGCGUAGGCGGAUCUUUAAGUCGGGGGUGAAAGCCCAGGGCUCAACCCUGGAAUGGCCUUCGAUACUGGAGAUCUUGAGACCGGAAGAGGUAAGUGGAACUGCGAGUGUAGAGGUGAAAUUCGUAGAUAUUCGCAAGAACACCAGUGGCGAAGGCGGCUUACUGGUCCGGUUCUGACGCUGAGGCGCGAAAGCCAGGGGAGCAAACGGG
rnacentral:rRNA from 1 species